rnacentral:rRNA from 1 species
CCUACGGGAGGCAGCAGUGGGGAAUAUUGCACAAUGGGGGCAACCCUGAUGCAGCGACGCCGCGUGAGUGAAGAAGUAUUUCGGUAUGUAAAGCUCUAUCAGCAGGGAAGAAAUAGCGACCUUUGGGUCGCCAGACGGUACCUGACUACGAAGCCCCGGCUAACUACGUGCCAGCAGCCGCGGUAGUACGUAGGGGGCAAGCGUUAUCCGGAUUUACUGGGUGUAAAGGGAGCGUAGACGGCAGCACAAGUCUGAAGUGACAUGCCGGGGCUUAACCCCGGAACUGCUUUGGAAACUGUGCAGCUAGAGUGCAGGAGAGGUAGGUGGAAUUCCUAGUGUAGCGGUGAAAUGCGUAGAUAUUAGGAGGAACACCAGUGGCGAAGGCGGCUUACUGGACUGUAACUGACGUUGAGGCUCGAAAGCGUGGGGAGCAAACAGGAUUAGAUACCCGGGUAGUC